rnacentral:rRNA from 1 species
AUUGAACGCUGGCGGCAUGCCUUACACAUGCAAGUCGAACGGCAGCACGGGAGCAAUCCUGGUGGCGAGUGGCGAACGGGUGAGUAAUAUAUCGGAACGUGCCCAGUCGUGGGGAUAACGUAGCGAAAGCUACGCUAAUACCGCAUACGAUCUAUGGAUGAAAGCGGGGGAUCGCAAGACCUCGCGCGAUUGGAGCGGCCGAUAUCAGAUUAGGUAGUUGGUGAGGUAAAGGCUCGCCAAGCCGACGAUCUGUAGCUGGUCUGAGAGGACGACCAGCCACACUGGGACUGAGACACGGCCCAGACUCCUACGGGAGGCAGCAGUGGGGAAUUUUGGAACAAUGGGCGCAAGCCUGAUCCAGCAAUGCCGCGUGCAGGAUGAAGG